UUCGGCAGCUAAAAUUGGAACGAUACAGAAAAGAGUAGGAUGGCCCCUUCUCAAGGAUGAUACACAAAUUCGUGAAGCAUUCCAUAUUUUU
rnacentral:snRNA from 1 species